GCAGUACUAUGAUGGACUCAAUACGAACUGCUGGCGGCAUGCCUAACACAUGCAAGUCGAUGAUAAGGCUUCGGCCUUAGUGGCGCACGGGUGCGUAACGCGUGGGAAUCUACCCUUAGGUUCGGAUAUAACAGUUAGAAAUGACUGCUAAUACCGGAUGAUGACGUAAGUCCAAAGAUUUAUCGCCUAAGGAUGAGCCCGCGUAGGCAGAGCUAGUUGGUGAGGUAAAGGCUCACCAAGGCGACGAUCCUUAGCUGGUCUGAGAGGAUGAUCAGCCACACUGGGACUGAGACACGGCCCAGACUCUGGACGGGAGGCAGCAGUGGGGAAUAUUGGACAAUGGGCGAACACCUGAUCCAGCAAUGCCGCGUGGAGUGAUGAAGGCCUUAGGGUUGUAAAGCCUACUACCCGGGAUGAUAAUGACAGUACCGGGAGAAUAAGCUCCGGCUAACUCCGUGCCAGCUGCCGCGGUAAUACGGAGGCGAGCUAGCGUUGUUCGGAAUUACUGGAUCGUAAAGCGCACGUAGGCGGCUUUGUAAGUUAGAGGUGAAAGCCUGGAGCUUAACUCCAGAACUUGGUUUAACGACUGCAUCGCUUGAAUCCAGGAGAAGUGAGUGGAAUUCCGAGUGUAGAGGCUGAAAUUCGUAGAUAUUCGGCUAAACACCAGUGGCGAAAGGCGGCUCACUGGACUGGGUAUUGACGCUGAGGUGCGAAAGCGUGGACGAGCAAACAGGAUUAGAUACCCUGGUAGUCCACGCCGUAAACGAUGAUAACUAGCUGUCUGGUAGCAUGGAGCUUAGGUGGCGCAGCUAACGCAUUAAGUUAUCCGCCUGGGGAGUACGGUCGCAAGAUUAAAACUCAAGCGAAUUGACGGGGGCCUGCACAAGCGGUGGAGCAUGUGGUUUAAUUCGAAGCAACGCGCAGAACCUCGUCAGCGUUUGACAUCCUCAUCGCGGAUCGUGGAGACACUUUCCUUCAGUAUGGCUGGAUGAGUGACAGGUGCUGCAUGGCUCUCGUCAGCGCGUAGAUGUGAGAUGUUGGCAUAAGUCACGCAACGAUACGCAACCCUCGUCCUUAGUUGCCAUCAUUAAGUUGGGCACUCUAAGGAACUUCGCCGGUGAUAAGCCUGACGAAGGUGGGGAUGACGUCAAGUCCUCAAGGCCCUUACGCGCUGGGCUACACACGUGCUACAACUGGCAACUACAGUGGGCAGCAAACCUGCGAGGGUGAGCUAAUCUCCAAAAGUUGUCUCAGUUCGGAUUGUUCUCUGCAACUCGAGAGCAUGAAGGUCGAAUCGCUAGUAAUCGCGGAUCAGCAUGCCGCGGUGAAUACGUUCCCAGGCCUUGUACACACCGCCCGUCACACUAUGGGAGUUGUGCGUCGCCCGAAGGCGCUGCGCUAACACGCAAGCGAGGUUCGCGAGCACGGUGGGUUUAGCGACUGGGGUGAAGUACUAACAAGGUACACCGUUUG
rnacentral:rRNA from 1 species